rnacentral:rRNA from 1 species
UACAGAGGUCUCAAGCGUUGUUCGGAUUCAUUGGGCGUAAAGGGUGCGUAGGCGGCGCGGUAAGUCGGGUGUGAAAUCUCGGAGCUUAACUCCGAAACUGCAUUCGAUACUGCCGUGCUUGAGGACUGGAGAGGAGACUGGAAUUUACGGUGUAGCGGUGAAAUGCGUAGAUAUCGUAAGGAAGACCAGUGGCGAAGGCGGGGUCUCUGGACAGUUCCUGACGCUGAGGCACGAAGGUCAGGGGAGCGAAACGGG